rnacentral:rRNA from 1 species
UGAGGAAUAUUGGUCAAUGGGCGGGAGCCUGAACCAGCCAAGCCGCGUGAGGGAAGAAGGCCCUAUGGGUCGUAAACCUCUUUUGUCAUGGGAACAAAAGCGAGUAUGUAUACUAGUCUGAGUGUACCUGAAGAAAAAGCAUCGGCUAACUCCGUGCCAGCAGCCGCGGUAAUACGGAGGAUGCGAGCGUUAUCCGGAUUUAUUGGGUUUAAAGGGUGCGUAGGCGGCGAUGCAAGUCAGCGGUAAAAGCCCGGGGCUCAACCCCGGCGAGCCGUUGAAACUGCAGUGCUAGAGAAGGCGAGAGGUACGCGGAAUGCGCAGUGUAGCGGUGAAAUGCUUAGAUAUUGCGCAGAACUCCGAUUGCGAAGGCAGCGUACUGGCGCCUGACUGACGCUGAGGCACGAAAGCGUGGGGAUCGAACAGGAUUAGAUACC